rnacentral:lncRNA from 1 species
GGGCUUCCCCACAUCCAGACUUCUGCUUAGAGAGAAGGCUAGGGAGGGAAGAGGAGAGAGCUCGUGCUGGGCCUGAGCCUGGCCUGUACGCCUAACAGCCUCCCCAUCGGCAGCAGGAGAAGACAUACUGCAGGGCUCAGUGAGGGAGCAGAGAGGGACAGCUCCGGGGCCCAAGCAGGGUGUAUCUCAUUCCAGUGCAGGGCCUCUGGACAGCCCAGGUUGGUGGCAUCCCCACCCUGGUACUCACACAGGUGGUGCUCUUCAUAGUGAUGUCAUUAGAAAGGACAUUUCUGCCAUUGUUCAGGCUGGCUUCAACAAAGACCUCCUUAAAGCACAGAAAGCGAAGAUGGUGAGAGCCAGCCCGGAGAGAUGCAGUUCUUGCCCUUGGUGAGUAGACAGCAUGGGUAAUGCUCUCAUUCCCCAAAGCACUGAGGUCAACCUCAGCAACAAUGGCCAAGGGGGAUGUGGGUCCAGCAGCGAGGGGCCCUGCAUGAGAUUUCAUGUCAUUGUGACUGUGUCCUAAGUGACCACAAAUGGCUGCUUGGUGUCAACCAUUCUGGCUCUUCUGUAUUUACAGAGUCCAUUGGCUUAACUCUGAAAGGCGACCUGGAGCAAUGGCACCAUUCCUCGGGCAAUCAUCUCCUGCAUCCUGCCCUCCUCACAGACCCUAGGACACUGCAGAUCCCUAGGACACUGCAGAUCCCUGAACACCUUGGGGGCCACCAACAAGGGAGGAAAUGACAUGGGAAGAAUGUCGAUGCACAUGUUCGUCCACUGUUCCUCCCACCUCCGGUCCUCAUCACGCAGAGCGGACCCUGUGGUCCACGACUGGCAUCUGGGCUCUGCUUUCCUAUUGCAGAGACCCCUGUGAGCACCCGCCACGCCCAGGCCCUGUGCAGCACUCUGAUGUGUAACAGGAAAGGCAGGCAGAGUCCCUGCUCUUAAGGACUCACCUUUAAGGACUGCAUGGGAGACAGACAACAAAAUUAAAAAUAGAGAACAAAAUAGAUGGCAGAGUGCAACGUGCUGUGAUGUCCAUGAGCAGAGGGAAGGAGAGGCACAGAGAGAAAGGGACAGCCGCUUCGUCACAGGCGACCAGAAGCAUUCGUGUGAUGUUGCACAGUUUCUUCAAUCCCAUUUCAUUUUCUUUUUCUUCCAUCAUAUUUAAGCAAAAUUAAAUUUAUUAUGUUGUAGUUGAAAAUGUUAAUAGCACUUGUCUUUGGGUUUGGGAUUUGGGGCAAUGUUUUUAUUCAUUAUGUUUUGUCUAUGUUUCUUUUUUCUACAUUGUAUCAUUUUUAUAAUAAAAUAUAAUU